GACACUCUUGUGACCAUUAAAAGCAUACUAGCUGGUUGCAAGUCUCAAGCAGGGCCCCACCGUCGGCUUCCACCGAUAACUGUGGCCGUUGUGGUGACAAAAAAGUGGACCAUUGAACAGGAUGAGGAGGAAAUAACUGCCCAGUCAUCCCAAGACCAGUUUGACCUAUGCACCAGUGACCAGUGUCUGAUAAGUUGUCAGCUUCUGAUGGGUUGUCAGUGUCCAAAUUCACCUUAAUGGAAGACACAUUAAGGAAAGUUGCUGCUGGGAACGCAUACAUAAUUAGAAAUUACACUACGUUCAACACAAGACAAUAAAAUUGUCAGUGUACCUGACAAUAAAAGACUUGAACGUGAACUUGAACAAGAGGGAAAGAUACAGUACUUUCUAGGAGAGAAACUGUUUUUUUUACUAGUGUGACAGAAAAGCUACUAAGCCUAUUCCCAUACUUACCACUUGACUGAGAAGACAUCCAUCUCAGGGUUAGAGCACAAUAUAAGGCCUAGUAACCUCAGUAAGUACAGGGAAUUCACUACAAGCUGUAUGAAACAUGCAAUGCAUGGCUAGCCUCCCCCACCUCCUUGUAGCUUGGUCUGGCCAAGUGGGUUAGACCCAUCAGUGGGGGCUGUGAUGAUGUGGAUAUCAUCCUGUGGCAGGAGCAGACCAUCUUCCCAAUUACUCCUGGACAAAGAGCCACAAUUAGCCAUUGUAAACAAACCAACCAUUCCAGUAAUAAAGUAGGAAGUACCGUUUUAUCAUUAUUCCACGAAUAUGGACUAGUGGUUUAAUGCUUCAUCAGAAAAGCUGUGCGGGGGUUUGCAGCACUCCAAAGUGAAGAGGAGAAAAUAAAGGACCCUCAACCCUCCAUCAGCAACACUGACCCUUCUGUAAGUUUAAUCAUAACCACAAAUAAUAACUAAACCACUAUAUUCACUACAGUUAACCAAUUACAAGUUUAUACACACUGUAUGUCAAACAGGAGCUUGCGCCCUGAAACCAUGGGGACUAAAAGAGAAGAGGAGAUGCCCCCGACCCUGAACCAGCGCUCCCCUCAAGCAGUCCAAGAGCUCUCUACAGGGACCGAAGUGAAGGAAAUUCACACCCAAGAGACCCCCUCCCCAUGCACAAAAGGCCUCAGUCUCCACUGCUGCAGCGAAAAAAUGAUGGCCACUGCCCCACCCCAGUUAACUGAAUACUGCAGUACAAUACAGUGCCUUAAACAGGCCUAAUCAUGAGGAUGAGCAGUUCGUUAUGAGCUGUAACAUGAGCCUCUUGCCAGCAUUCCAGAUGCUGGAUAAAGGUCCUCAUGGGCUUUCAGAAACUCCUGCAUGAAGCAGAAUUUUGGGACUUAUAAGCCUUGUGUCACCAUUCCACUUUGGGCAACAUGAUAUGGUAUGUUUACACCAUGCUGAGGUCAGCUUUAUUUUUCUCAAAAUAAACUUUAAUUGAA